rnacentral:rRNA from 1 species
GAUGAACGCUGGCGGCGUGCCUAAUACAUGCAAGUCGAGCGAACGGACGAGAAGCUUGCUUCUCUGAUGUUAGCGGCGGACGGGUGAGUAACACGUGGAUAACCUACCUAUAAGACUGGGAUAACUUCGGGAAACCGGAGCUAAUACCGGAUGAUAUUUUGAACCGCAUGGUUCAAAAGUGAAAGACGGUCUUGCUGUCACUUAUAGAUGGAUCCGCGCUGCAUUAGCUAGUUGGUAAGGUAACGGCUUACCAAGGCAACGAUGCAUAGCCGACCUGAGAGGGUGAUCGGCCACACUGGAACUGAGACACGGUCCAGACUCCUACGGGAGGCAGCAGUAGGGAAUCUUCCGCAAUGGGCGAAAGCCUGACGGAGCAACGCCGCGUGAGUGAUGAAGGUCUUCGGAUCGUAAAACUCUGUUAUUAGGGAAGAACAUAUGUGUAAGUAACUGUGCACAUCUUGACGGUACCUAAUCAGAAAGCCACGGCUAACUACGUGCCAGCAGCCGCGGUAAUACGUAGGUGGCAAGCGUUAUCCGGAAUUAUUGGGCGUAAAGCGCGCGUAGGCGGUUUUUUAAGUCUGAUGUGAAAGCCCACGGCUCAACCGUGGAGGGUCAUUGGAAACUGGAAAACUUGAGUGCAGAAGAGGAAAGUGGAAUUCCAUGUGUAGCGGUGAAAUGCGCAGAGAUAUGGAGGAACACCAGUGGCGAAGGCGACUUUCUGGUCUGUAACUGACGCUGAUGUGCGAAAGCGUGGGGAUCAAACAGGAUUAGAUACCCUGGUAGUCCACGCCGUAAACGAUGAGUGCUAAGUGUUAGGGGGUUUCCGCCCCUUAGUGCUGCAGCUAACGCAUUAAGCACUCCGCCUGGGGAGUACGACCGCAAGGUUGAAACUCAAAGGAAUUGACGGGGACCCGCACAAGCGGUGGAGCAUGUGGUUUAAUUCGAAGCAACGCGAAGAACCUUACCAAAUCUUGACAUCCUUUGACAACUCUAGAGAUAGAGCCUUCCCCUUCGGGGGACAAAGUGACAGGUGGUGCAUGGUUGUCGUCAGCUCGUGUCGCGAGAUGUUGGGUUAAGUCCCGCAACGAGCGCAACCCUUAAGCUUAGUUGCCAUCAUUAAGUUGGGCACUCUAAGUUGACUGCCGGUGACAAACCGGAGGAAGGUGGGGAUGACGUCAAAUCAUCAUGCCCCUUAUGAUUUGGGCUACACACGUGCUACAAUGGACAAUACAAAGGGCAGCGAAACCGCGAGGUCAAGCAAAUCCCAUAAAGUUGUUCUCAGUUCGGAUUGUAGUCUGCAACUCGACUACAUGAAGCUGGAAUCGCUAGUAAUCGUAGAUCAGCAUGCUACGGUGAAUACGUUCCCGGGUCU